rnacentral:misc_RNA from 1 species
CAAGAAUUGACUAACUCCAGAUCAAAUAUAAUCAGUCUGCACCAUUAGUUAUAUAAUAAAAUCCAAUUUGAUCACCAUCAAAAAAAUCAUUCGAAAUGUAAUUAACAUGUUCAAUGAACGAAACAAAAAAUAGCUGGUCUAUGGUGCAUGAGAAAACCAAAAUCCAUAGUCGAGAUACGACCCAAAAAAAUACAAAUUCAAUGGA